UACGGAGGGGGCUAGCGUUGUUCGGAAUUACUGGGCGUAAAGCGCACGUAGGCGGCUUUGUAAGUUAGAGGUGAAAGCCCGGGGCUCAACUCCGGAAUUGCCUUUAAGACUGCAUCGCUAGAAUUGUGGAGAGGUAAGUGGAAUUCCGAGUGUAGAGGUGAAGUUCGUAGAUAUUCGGAAGAACACCAGUGGCGAAGGCGACUUACUGGACACAUAUUGACGCUGAGGUGCGAAAGCGUGGGGAGCAAACAGG
rnacentral:rRNA from 1 species